GUUAAGAUGGCAGAGCCCGGCAACUGUAUAAGACUUAAAACUUUAUAAUCAGAGGUUCAACUCCCCUCAUUAACA
rfam:Macaca mulatta chromosome X, whole genome shotgun sequence.